UUAUGCAUAAUCACCACCAGAAUUACAGAGGAGACGAACAUUGGUAUGGGACCAAAAAUCCACAGCAGCAAGGUGACAGCAAGACUGAACAAAACAAGCAAACGCCAGUAGGAAGCAAGCGAGAAGGCUGAUGUAUUUGAUGGAAAUCGUAGAGGAGCUUGUGUCGCCAUAGAUAAAACCACUCUUGAAGAUGUUCUGGGACGAGCUUCCGACCCAUGCUCCAAUGAGAGAACUCAGAGUUAGGGAUAUUGAAGACAUGGAAGUUGCCGCGGACAUGUUGCUGCCGAUCACGGACAUCGCUUGCCCUCUGUCCUUUGGUUCAACCUGCAAUUACCCAUUAGAGUUAUCAAGGACAAAAGGUAGAACACAGUUUAAAUAGCAUAUUCAAAGCACUUCUCUUGAUCGCUUUCACUUUCUAGCGCAGAAGUACUUUGAGCCCUUAAAAUUUAAACCUUGAAUUCAGCUGAGAUUGGUUGUAUAUUCAAACCUGCAACAUCCUCUCAAUCCAUGUUCUCUUGAUGUGAUUCUCAUAGCCAA